rnacentral:rRNA from 1 species
UACAGAGGGUGCAAGCGUUAAUCGGAAUUACUGGGCGUAAAGCGUGCGUAGACGGUUAUGUAAGUCAGAUGUGAAAGCCCCGGGCUCAACCUGGGAAUGGCAUUUGAGACUGCAUAGCUAGGAUGCGGAAGAGGGAAGUGGAAUUUCCGGUGUAGCGGUGAAAUGCGCAGAUAUCAGGAGGAACACCGGUGGCGAAGGCGGUUCUCUGGGCAUGUCCUGACGCUGAGGAGCGAAAGCGUGGGGAGCGAACAGG